rnacentral:rRNA from 1 species
CCUUGGUCAGGUAGAGAAUACCGAGGCGAUCGGGCGAACUGUGGUUAAGGAACUCGGCAAAUUACCCCCGUAACUUCGGGAGAAGGGGGGCCACAGACCGUGAAACCCCAUGCGGGUGGCAGCGGUAGGUGGCCGCAGAGACCAGGGGGAAGCGACUGUUUACUAAAAACACAGGUCCGUGCGAAGUCGUAAGACGAUGUAUACGGACUGACGCCUGCCCGGUGCUGGAACGUUAAGGGGACCGGUUAGUCCGCAAGGGCGAAGCUGAGAACUUAAGCGCCAGUAAACGGCGGUGGUAACUAUAACCAUCCUAAGGUAGCGAAAUUCCUUGUCGGGUAAGUUCCGACCUGCACGAAUGCGUAACGACUUCCCUACUGUCUCAACCACAGGCCCGGCGAAAUUGCACUACGAGUAAAGAUGCUCGUUACGCGCGGAAGGACGGAAAGACCCCGGGACCUUCACUAUAGCUUGACAUUGGUACUCGAAUUGAAUUGUGUAGGAUAGGUGGGAGACUAUGAAGCUCGGACGCCAGUCCGGGUGGAGUCAACGUUGAAAUACCACUCUGUUGAAUUUGGGUAUCUAACUUCGGACCGUGAUCCGGUUCAGGGACAGUGUCUGGUGGGUAGUUUAACUGGGGCGGUUGCCUCCUAAAAUGUAACGGAGGCGCCCAAAGGUUCCCUCAGCCUGGUUGGCAAUCAGGUGUUGAGUGCAAGUGCACAAGGGAGCUUGACUGUGAGACUGACAGGUCGAGCAGGGACGAAAGUCGGGACUAGUGAUCCGGCACCGGCGAGUGGAAGCGGUGUCGCUCAACGGAUAAAAGGUACCCCGGGGAUAACAGGCUGAUCUUCCCCAAAAGUCCAUAUCGACGGGAUGGUUUGGCACCUCGAUGUCGGCUCGUCGCAUCCUGGGGCUGGAGUAGGUCCCAAGGGUUGGGCUGUUCGCCCAUUAAAGCGGCACGCGAGCUGGGUUUAGAACGUCGUGAGACAGUUCGGUCCCUAUCCUCCGCGCGCGCAGGAGACUUGAGAAGAGCUGUCCCUAGUACGAGAGGACCGGGACGGACGAACCUCUGGUGUGCCAGUUGUCAUGCCAAUGGCACGGCUGGUUAGCUACGUUCGGAAGGGAUAACCGCUGAAAGCAUCUAAGCGGGAAGCCUGCUUCAAGAUGAGGUCUCCCACCCCCUCGAGGGUUAAGGCCCCCAGCAAGACCACUGGGUUGAUAGGCCAGAAGUGUAAGCCUGGUAACAGGUUCAGCCGACUGGUACUAAUAGGCCGAGGACUUCAUC